rnacentral:lncRNA from 1 species
CCACCUUCACCAAUAUACAAAUCACCACCACCACCACCACCUUCACCAAAGUCACCACCACCUCCCACUGAUUGCAAGUCACCGCCUCCAGUUCCACCAUCAUAUUACACUCAACCGAAUCGACUUCCAAUAUCAUAUUACAUUCCACCGAAUCGACGUGGACGAUUAUAUUAUCCAAUUUACAGGUCACCACCGUCUAUUGACCAAUCACCACCGUCGAUUGACCAAUCACCACCGUCGAUUGACCAAUCACCACUACCAUCUCCACCAACUUACAACUCACCACCGGUCACAACAUACCCACCAUCAAAUAUUUAAAUCUACAAUGCACCAUGCACCUCCUUUCCAAUAAUGGAUAACCACCAUGCAUGUUAAAUUAAAGGUUAAGUAAUAUAUAUAAGUUGGUUUAUUAUGAAUAUAUAUGUAUUGUGCUCCUACAAGUUCGAGGGGAAUUGAAGAAUAAAGAUGCACUAAAGAAGGGUUCAAGUUUCAUGAAAGAGCUUGCUUAUUGAUAUAUUAAUAGAGAAAGGUAUCGGUGUGUACCCAAAAUAAUGAAAAGAAAUAGUUCAUUAAGCUUAAAUAAAUUGUGUAAAAUGCUGUAUAAUCCAUCAGACGAUAUGAUUAUAUGGCAUGCAAACAUGUAAUAAUAUUUUAUGUACAUGGCCGGCGUUCUGCUCGGUUUGAAUUGUAAUUGAAUUUUUAGGAGACAUGCGUGUAUUAUUAUAUGGAAUGAAUUAAUUUAAUUUGCGUC